rnacentral:lncRNA from 1 species
CUUCUAUAGUGCCUGCAUGUUAGAGACUCUUCUUAUUUUUUUUUAGUUACUUAAGUGGCAAUACUCGAGUGUCAAGCACCCUGGGAUAAAAUAAACCUGACUCAUCUCUAAAGAGAGGAAGUCAUCACCUGUUUAACCUGGAACUGUAGAUAUGAAGAUGACCAACUUUCAAAACCACUUCUUCACAAACAAACCCAUGAGGUUUCUGUUUAGGAGAAGCAGUUCACCUUUCACUCCUAAUGUCAGGAGAGGAGAAGCCUGGUGGAAGGAAAAACUCCAAGAGAAAGUAGCCAUGAGUUCAUAAUACCCAGACCUGAAAUAUCUUUGGAAAAUGCAAGAGGAGUGUGUUUACCAACAAAGGCAAAAAGGAAAAGGCAGAGAGGCAGUGGAGAACUUGUUGUCACCAACCAGCUCUUCAUUUUUUGUGGAGAAAGCUUCAAGUGUGAAGGAGCACUAACCCAGAAGAAAGAGCAAUCAAAUGUGCUAAAAAGCACUGCUUUCCACUUGCAAAAAGUCCUGUUUAGUACAUGUUUAUGAAACUCGUCUCAGAUGUUCUAAAAAUAGCCUUGCAGGAGCAAGUCAGCUCCCUCCAGGAAGCCCUACACGUUCCUAGCAUAGAAGCGCAGCUUAAUCCUGAUUUUCACAAAAAGAACAAUUAUUUUUAGUGCUUUUAAAAACAGACUUUAGUUGCCCGGUGCUGAUUUGUCAAAACAAAACAUGAAAGAUGUGUCACUUCACAGGAAUGUGGCACAAGUUGAUGGGUUCCGAAUGUCCAGAACGUCUGACAGUAAUGUGGUGGUUCAGAUGUGUCAGGAGGUGUUAAGAUAAAGAUUUCAGGCAAGGCUUGUGGGGCAACAAUAAGAUGAAAAAAAGGGUCUAAGGAGCAUCCUGACGGCGAUGAAGAGAGAGACAGAGGAAAGGGACGUCCUAGGGAGCAGUGUUGAAAGAACAUAAGAACAAGUAAGAACACAACCAAAGCAUAAUGACUUCUUCUGGCUGCGGUGCCAGAUAUCCUCAACAAGAGAAAUGUUGCACAGCUAGUUGGACAGUUAUAAGGAAUAUGAUUUGGUAUGGUUAUGUCAUUACAGAAGUCCAGUUAAACUUGGUCCUAGUG